UAUAACAGAGAUGCGGUCAGGCAGUAUAAAUCAAUGGGCCACAAAUUACACAGGAAAUUUAGGUCUAGCUUUCAGAGUUGAGGGAGGUGGGAAGAUGGAGGAAUUAAAACCUGAUACCAUUAAAAUAUUGCUUCAGGGCAGAGAAGAACUUGCUGCAAUGCUGCUUAGGUUACAGAUUGCUGUUUAAAAGGGUCAGGAAUACACAGCAGGUCACUAUUCUACAAGAACUAUCUGGCAACGUGAAGAGCAAACUUGGAGCAGAUUAGUACAGCACCCAGCGUUGACCCAAGAAGGUGUACCCAGAACCACAUCUCAGCUCUGGGCAGUUCUGACCAUCUUCAGAUACCAAAGAGCCUCAGAAAUAACAACAUACCAAAAAGUCCUCGGCACAUGGAUUUUGGGGCAUAAAGAGAAUGUAAGAUCUGCCAUCUAAAUAAAAGUCUCCCCCAGCCGUACCACACUAUGAGGAUUUCAGCCAGAUGCUGCUGCUUCUUGGGCUGUGGGGCUGGAACUGCAAAGUAGUUGAAUCAAGAGAGUGGCCAUACAGAAGGAAGUUGUGGAGGAAUAUGGAAAAGAUCUGUCUGCAUCACAGCACUCGGUUCAUCUCCUUGGCAGGGGCCUUUCUAUCAGCAGCAGCGCCUAAUCAUUAAACAGAUGGGCUGAAAAACCACUUUGCAAUAUAGAUGGGCUGAGAAGAGAAGCAUAGUUUUAAAUCCACAUAUAGGCUGUUCAUUGACAGAGUUUUUCCAGAGGGCUGUCUUUCCUGGGGCCCAGCUGACCACAUGGCACAAAGAGGUCCGUCCGAUAACAGUGGGAUCCCUGCCCAUGCCUGAUGUGCACAUCUCCUGAAAAGCUUAAGCAGGCAUCACGAGAUGCUCCUCCCCAACUGAAGGUGGCAGUGAGGGACGUCUGCCUUUCUCAUGGUGUCACACAAUGAGGUUGGGACACUUUGCCAAUGCAAGUGCAUCUACACCAGGGUGUUUUUGCCCACUGAGUAGCCCACUGGCUACGGUUUCAAUUUUUUCAUGCAUCCAACUGGCAGAGGAAAAAAAAAACCAGAAGUCUAUCUAGUGCCCAACAUCACACUUGCUGAAUUUUUCUUUCUUUUCCCUAUCAGAUCCUUGUUUCACUGUUUUAUUUAUAGUACGUUCCAGGCCAUGAUCAAGUGCUCUGUUUUGUAAGAUGUGGGCAAAAAGACAACAAAAACCCCUUGGGGAACCUGAAGCAAAGCUGUCCCUGCUUACUGAGGAAAGACAAGGCCCAAGAGGAUGUGGUGACUGAAGGUCUUGACAGCAAAAUAUCCCUGAACUCCUGCACCUACAAAGCCCUUUUCCUUGGAGCGGUCCUGGAGCAUUCUCAUCUCCCAGGAAUGCAACGCCCUUCUUAGAAGCACAAGAUGGAUAAGCCAUUGGGAGCACGCUGCUUGGGAGAACACUGAGACUGGGGAGUUCUCAAUGGGAUCGGGAGAGCCAUAGUUUCACAAAGAGGUUAUUCACCCAUUUGUUGUGGUUAUUGAUUUCUUAAAAAUCAGGGUCUAUUUUUUAUCCUGGUCCUCCAGCUUCCCAUUCAACACUGCUGUGUUUCAGCUCGGUGUUCUUUCUGAUCAUCCAGUCAUCUCCACGUGCUCCUGCAGGAACGGCCGUGCAGGACAUGCAGGACUGCGCUAGUCCUUCACUUGCUGCAUCUCACCUCUAGUGGUGGCUUGAAGGCAUGAGUGCUUCCAGUGGAAACACACAAGUCAAACACUUAGGAAACAGCCAGGCCAUCUGGUAUUUUUGUCACUCCUACUGACACUUAGUGUUGCGUGGGUGCCUGAGUGCAGGAUCUGAAGUGUUUCUUGCCUGAUUUUCAUUUGUGUAGUAUGCAGGAUCAGCUGAUGUUUGUCUUCAUGUGAUUCGCCUUUGAUCCUUCUUUGAGCCCUACUAAGUAACCCUCAUUAUGUGUCAAGUGACUGUGACUAUGACUGUAGGAAUGCACCAUCCGAACACACGAGAAUGAAGUUUCUGGCUCCUCUGAUUGUCAAACAGAGGGGAAAACAAAGUGGCUGAUUUUCCUUCCUUUACAUAACUACUCUAUGUGGACACUAAACUGAGAUCUGGGGCAAGAGCUGAGCUGCCUCAUGCAUCCACUUCCAUUAAAAGAGUUGCUGGUACCUAACAGAGGUGGAGAUCCAAAGUGCCCCUAGGGAAAGCACUUGUAUUUCAUAUUGCUUGUAUUUCAUUAGAGAUGAAGAUUAAUUCAGCUACUCUAUCUAUUCAUUUAAUUGUGUGUAACUUGGGGCCAUCAAAUCAGACCUCCCAGAAGACCUGAGUGAAGCCUUCACUCUCAGAAGAAAACACAUGAUGUGAGAUCAUCUCCUCUACGAGGUGACAAAGCUCAGGUGCUGUUUACUACUGAACGGGGUACUCAAAGAUUUGCUAGGUGUAUCAGCAAAGCAUGAGCUCAACAUGACCAAACCUGCAGGAGGGGAUACCUUAUCACUGGGGAGUGUGCCAAAGGCUGGAGAAGUCUGAAACAAGAGCAGACGCUGUAGGACUGCUCGGGGACGUGGUAGAAAAGGCACUGCAGAAGUCCAAUGGAAGUGUGUACCUUUUCCCCCAAUAAACACAGAUGUUAUCAUGCGCUCAAACCAUCUUAGGGAGAAAAUGGGGGCAUUUCCCACGCACAAAAGGAAUGGAGAUAAAUGAACUAUUUACAGGGUGCAGGUUGCCUAGAAAGCAGGCUCCCAUUCUACAAAAGGAAAAACCUCUUUUGUUUGAACUCCAUGCGAUAUCAAGUAGGACGAAGCACUGGGACAUGAGUUACAAACAAGAUAGCUGUUGCUAUUCAUUCUGUUUGCUCGGAGAGGCAAUCCCACGCAGCAGCAUCCAGAACGUGGUGUCUGCCAGUCAAAUUAUGAUGAGAAGAACCAGAGUUUACCGCUUCAGCACGAGCUGAACAGUGUCCUCUUCCACCAGUGACUCUGCUUCCAGUUCUCCUUGUUUGCUGGUGAACUUCUGGAUAGUAAUGUUGACCUUCAGCUGUUGUCUGGAAGCUUUUCCUCUGUUUCAAGCAAGUGAUUUGAAUUCUUUCUAACUUCCGAUCUACAAGAAUAGGAUUCCUAAAAUUUUACGGAGCUGUUGUGAAGAUUGUUGAUGUGCAUGAGAUGCUCGUGUUGGGACUGUGGGCCAAGGAAGCGUCCCAAGUCUGUUCUCAGGGGAAGAGAAACAACAUUCUUUGAUUCUGAAGAAGCAUUACUGCGAAUACACAGUGAAGUGAAGAGGUCAAUAUACCCAUCUAACGAAUUUCCUAUAAAUGUUGGUGAACAGCAGGUAGCUUUGCAGAAACAGAAGCCAGUUCAUAGGCAAGAAGACAGCAGAUGAAACAGAUGCAACAAAUUCUGAAAUAUCAACAGGAAGGGAAGAACAACAGCAGGUCCCAAAGUCGUGACUGUGGCCACAACCAUGAGCCUUGACCUCAGGGAGCCAAUGGCCGCCUCCCUCCCACCCUCUGCUCCUUCCUCCAUUUUGGGGAUGUAACCAUUCACACACACUGUGCUCCUCAGGCAGAACUGCGCCUGACCAUGAUUACCCCGAAACCCCAUUCUCCCACCCCAUGGUGCUAUUUCCCUGCUAGGCACCUUCAGUCUGCAACACAGGCUUCUGCCCAGUGUGAUUUUAUAAGAGUCAGCCACUACGCUUCAGCAGACUUUGGUUGCCUCUGAGUUCACAGCUAUAAAUAGGGGCUUUCAUAAGGUGGUGCCCACAGAAGUUCUGGCACAAACAGUUUUUAACAUUUUGAAUGAGUGGGGCCUGAUGGGAAGCCUGCUGCCUGCCGGCCUUGGCAAGCUCCACAAACCUGUUUGGGUUGAAACAUGCCGAUAUCCAGCAGAAUGAGCUGUUAGCCUGGCUGAGACCAUUUCAGCUUAUUGCAUAAGUGACUUAGACAGAUGUUUAACGGAUUUAUGUAAGGCUGGCUGAAGUCAAACACAGGUGUAAGAGAUGAAAGGGGAAUGGGAAAAAUGCACUGCGAAGAUCAUUUUUCCAUUUCUGUGUUUUUUUCCCCUGGCUGUUGAUUCUAUUGCCCUUUCCAUGCAAUUUCUGUGCUGUGAGUCACCAAGAAAAAAAUACACACACACAAAAACCCACUAUUUUUGUUUACUACCAGCAAGGAAUGAAGUUUUACACAAAGCUGUGCUGUAGCUGUACUCACUUCUCCUAUUUCAGCUAUCCGGUUUAUUUCUGCUCCAGCCCAGCUGCAUUUUGCUCCCAAGAUGUGCUGAGCAGACAUUGCCACUCUGAGGAAGGGGAGAAAAUGAAAGGUAGAUCCUUGCUGCAGACUGCUCAUUAUUUGGCCUUCCCAGCGUGCUGUACAUGACAUUUUCGUGCUUGGAUUUGGAAUGUCUCCAGCAGCGACAGCAUAAGCUUUCUCCUCCUGUGGUGCAGUGCUGGUGCUCAGACCAAAGUCGGUCAAGAUGUGGUCCUUCAGGAGCAUUCACCAGCUGAGCAUCUCUUGCAACCUUCUCCCAUGGCACUGCACAAGAAUAUUGUCUGUAGAGACAAAAUAUUGCCUUGCACCAGGUCCUCACCCCCAACCCCAAAUGCUGGGCACCCCCCACCAAGCAGCUUCAGUGGUGAGGAACAGGGAGGAAGGAGCAGUGAGGGCCUUGGGAUGUGCCAAAGUGGGCUUCUGCCAGCCCAUCUAAAACACGUGGACAGUCUCCUGGCUCUCCAGGGGCACACGGCAAUGAAUGCUCCUUGGCAUGCUUCACACAGGUGAUUUAGGCACAAGGCAGGUCUGCAGUACUGAUGAAUAUUUCUAGGGGUAUCUCACCUGUCAAACCAUCCCCAGCAACUGAAGGUAAAACCCAGUGCAUGUUUUUCUGUUGGCGAGUCACUGAAAUGUGUUAGCUGAGGAUGAUGAGAGGGCGUCUUUAGCCCUGGGUAGCCAAGGGAUGGUGUUGCCAUUGUUGCAGUUGGCCAGGCACUGGCGCAGCUGCCCAGGGAGGUGGUGGGGUCACCACCCCUGGAGGUGUUCAAGAACCAUGGAGGUGUGACACUGAGGGACAUGGUCAGUGAGCAUGGUGGGGGUGGGGUGGGGUUGUGCUUGGGGAUCUCUGAGGUCUUUUCCAAUCUGAGUGAUUCUGUGAUGUGUUCCAAGCUCAAGGGGGGAGAUGGAGAGGACAGUGAUCCUGGAAAGUCUCGGAAGAGAAACAAAGGAGUAACUAUAGCUUGGGGACAAAUUCCCAGUGGUCAGUACCCUCGGUAACUGCAGUGCUGUGCCCCCAGCCCACAGGUGGAGCAGAGCAGCCCAACAGUGAUGUUGGCCCCGGAGCUGGUGGCAGAGCCAGGAGCUGAGCUCACAUCUCCUGGCUCCCCAGCCAGUCCCAGACCCACAGGGCCAUUUUUUCCUCUCUGUUCUGCCUCAUUAGCACCAGUAAGCACUUCUGUCACCAGGGACAUGCAUGCUCUGGUGGGGACUGUAACAGAAAUGCCUAUUAAUAAAUGACAUAAUACUUUCCAGUUUUCAAGGCUCUCUGUGGCGUCCACUCAGCAGCCCUGGCUAAGUCAGGAUCUUUUAUUUACACCCUCAGCACUGCCAAAUCUGUUGUUUGCCACAGCCUGGGCUCGCCCAGAAGCUGAUGAAGGAUUGACUUGAGCUGGUCACAUGAAUGGGGACCAGGGCGCCAGCAAUGCCAGUGAUGAGGCAAGCAUGGAUGGAUGGGAGAUAACAGGAAAGGGUCCCCAGUGCUGCAUGGGAGGAGAGGAACAGCUUUGUAAGAAACGGUUCAUAUUAGCCCCAGACUCCCCAGCCCCUGUCUGGGAUGGCUCUGCAUGCACAGAGCUGGGACGGGCACCCACCCGGCACGUCUUGGAGUUAUUGAUUCAUUCUGCUCACAACAGUGUUGCACAACGGGAUGUGUUUUAUGGGGACAUUAACCCACACAGCAAUGGCCUUAAUGCAUCUCACCACCCGAGGUGUGUAUUAGCUGCCUUUGUAACAUGUACCCCAGUGGAUUUUAUUGUUAUUGCAGCAUAAAUCCUGGGGUUUAGAACCUCUUAAAACUCUCCUCUUGAGAUCUGCCCUUCUAGGGCUCAAUCCAGAAGAUGGUGGAAAAAGCCCAAACCCCUCACCCUUACCCCAUCUCCAGCUGACACAAGGUUGUCUGGGAUGUUAGCAGCACCACAGCUCUCCUCCUGCAUUUUCUGUAUGGAAGCAACAAUGAUGAGGAGGUUCAGUAUGUUCUUCCUUCUCUUCAGAUGCUGUACCGGUGACCCUAAAGGUGCUAAAGUGGUGGGAAGAGAUCCCAAAGAAGGACAUUUUGGAGUAGGAAGGAGAGGCAAGACAAACUCACCGGUUUUGGGUAGCAAGGCUGACUCGGGAUAGCAGGAGAACUUCUACUGGCACUUUUCUUGAGACAUCUCCCACCUUGAUAUAACCAACUUUACACAAACACUUAAUGGAUUUCUAAUUGUUCACAGAGAGCUCUCCUGAACACAGAAGCUGGAUUCAAGCAAAUGACAUCAUUUAGCUGUCUCUCUCAUUUUAAGAACUGUUGUCUGCAGACCCCAUCACACAGAGAGAACUUGAGACACAUCUGUCUGUAAGCUAUCAUAACACUUCCCUCCAGAUGCCAAUAAGAUGGGUUCUGUAUUUAACUCUUAUUCAACUGUACUCCUGUGGCGUUGAGUGGCACAGAAUUUUUCCCAUCUAUUCUUGAAUGCAUUGUAAUUGCCAGUAUCAUGGAGAGAUGUCCCACCAGCUCAUGAGUACAUGCUAAAGAGGGAACCCCAGUACAAUAGUAUUUAAGGAAUUAGAACAUUUCUCCCACUGCUGCCCCUCGGGAUGCAGAGGAGUCACCACACCACAUGCAAAGACAAUAGACAGCCAGGCCUGGUUGUCUCUCCUUGCUUCCAGGAGACAUGUGUGGUGGAUAUGUAGGGCUAUUUUUGAUGCACGCUGAGCUGGCAUUGUCACAGAGAGCUGAUUUCUCCUCUGCUUUGUGUCCAAAGAUGAUUUUGGAAGCUGAAAACUCGCUGUAGCCACGAACAAACACAGUUUUGGAAGGUCAUCUUGCUGCACUGCAGCAAUAAUGGAGAUACGUGUGCUUAUCUGUUUUGGUUAUCGGAGUGACAUAGUUUCUCCCUCUGUCAUGGAAAACUCAUUUACCAAGCAGGAAGGAAUUGAAGCUGUAGUUGAUGGAUGAAGUGCUUUGCAUGUCUCUGCUUCCCACUCUUUCAGACGUGGUCACUGACCUCACACAGCGACUGGGAAGAUGAAGCUGUCCUGCUUUUCAGGUGUGGGCUCACAUGAGCCAUUUCAGUUGGGUACACACUUCCAUCCCAUUCACAUAAAGCACUUAGAAACUUCUUCCACUUUUCCCUUCAUCAUUACACUAACUACAGCUUUCAGUGGGGAGGAUGUCACAGCAAUUUUGAUCCCUUGGUUAAAUCCUCCUCCAAGCCUUGAACAAAAGAUCUAGCACACGGAAAAAGACACGAUGAAUCUGAAUUAAGGACCUCUUUAACCUUCUGUUGCGAAGGGAAGGGCCUUGUCUUUACCUUCCAAGUGCAAAUAGUGUCACACCAGUAAAUGGAAUUUCUGUCACCACUGGAGGUGGGGAAAGGUUGGUCACACAAGGGAUGUGGUACCGUGGAGCAUGCUUGAGUUGGGUAGUGAUGGUGUACAGUGAUGCAGACAGUUAAAUACAGAGGCUGGACAACAUGUGACUUAAAGGCAGGCUUAAAGUUGUGUUUCCUGGUAUGAAAGGCCAACCUGUGAGCAGAUCCCUAGACAUUCAGGGUUUUCCAGCAUGGCACAAGCCCAAGGUGAUCUCAACACAUCACUGAAGACCUCUGGCACAGAAGAACUGAGGAGGUGGAAUCGACCUUGCUCCAUUAUCAACAGGUUUAUAUCCCUUGUCAAAGCCUUGCCAGGUAUCACAGAGCUGAGCCAGGGGAUAUUUUGGUUGACGGCUGAUUGUGGCUGCAGCUCAAGCUGAAGCCACUGCACUCAGAGCUCAGCAGCAUUCAAAGCCCAGCUUUGGCUGGACUGUGGUCCAAGAAAACAGUCACUGCUCCAAUGGGUCGCACUUCCUGCAGGAUGUGGCUGCUUGCACCAUGCAUGGGAUUGCAUGGGACGAAGGAGAGGAUCUGGGGGGCACUCGUCUGCGAAGGAAGGGCUGCAUAGUUUUUGUUUAGUCUAGUUAGAAAUGUCAUACUUUAUAUAUCCUUCACCAUUUCCUCGUAAGGCUGCUUUGCUAAUGGAUAACUGCACCAGGAAACUUCUGUGGCUAGACAGCCAAAAUUUUACCUUAUUCACUUUCAACCCUUCCUUAUAACUCUGCAAUUCCUCAGGAUUUAUGUCAUUCCAAUAUUUGUCUCGUUCUUCCUCAGCUGCUGCCAGCCAAGCCAGUGAUAUUUCAUUCAUUUUAAUCUUUCUUCCAGAACUUCCAUUUUUCCAAGCUGAAUCUUGGUGCCUUCUUUUUUUUUCAACCUCAUGUUCAUCUCAUUUGCCAAGGAAAAGCUAAGGUAAUAUUGCAUUAUAUCCCAACCGAAAAUGAUAUUAGAGUAGCCAGCCGGGCUGGAAGAAGAACUUAUCUUAACCAGAGCUGGUCAUCCUCUUUGCCUUUUAACUUUGAUAACAGCAACAAUGACAGAGGCCUAAGUUACUAGCUCACAAUGCUGACUGUAAUUGCUAUAAGGCAAUAAAUAAAUUAGGACAUCUGGGACUUUUGGUGUUGCUCAGAUUGCUCUUACAUGGAUCCCAGCAGUGUCACGUAACACAGAGAAAUAAUUGCUAGGAGGUAUUUUUGUCAGGAACUCUGGGGCUGAUUGCAAACAUUUUCUCAUCAUUGCCACUUAUAAUUCUGUGUUUAUGGAUCUUUAACUUGGAGUCCCAUUGCUCUGUGCAGACAGUAACACUUGGCUGAACAAACCUGAGAAACUGCGUCCUAUUGAACAGACCCCACAAAGAUCCACAGCGGCAGCCACUGAAUAUGGAGGGGAAUUGCUUCAUACCUCAGCUGAUACCUCACGUUGUGAUUAUCCUAACAUUAAAUGGGAAAAGGGAAGCGGUGUGCACAGGUGUGUGGCCAUAGCAGUGCAUUAUUUUUUGGUUGCUUCUGAAUCCCUUUGAGUUUGAGAAACAAAAUGAUCCAUUUUUGUGCUAGAAAUACAGAUCAACCAUGAAUUUCACACUGCAUUUUGUAGAGAUCGGCUCAGCAGAGUGAAUGCAGGGAUUUCGCAGAGAACAGUAUUGAUGAGAAGGUGCUCAGUUAUCAUUACAUGUGGAUAACUUCACCCAAGUACAUCGAUCCUGUAUGUAGAAUGUUGUGACUCGUCGUCACACGGGGCUCAUCGUGAGGUGCAGUGGGACUGCCUCAGGACGAACACACCUGUCAAGGAGGAAGAGAUGCUAUUCCAAGCCAGGGGAAGGAGAGCAGUGUUGCCAUGCUCCUCGAUUUCUGGUGCCUGAGGUGGCACAGCGGUGAUGGCGGUGCUCAGCACUCCCUGUGGGAGAUGCAGGCACAGCUCUGAGCACUGCUUCCCACGGCUGCCCAAAGCCAUGCGUGUGAUUUUCCAUCUUGUUCACCCUUGGGAACGGAGCCAUUUAUCGCUGUGCUGAUCAAGGCCCCGCAUCCCUUCCUUGCUGGUGAAGGAGCCCCACACACCCCCAGCCCAGUCUCUUGCCCCCGACCCCUAUUCGCCCCGUUCUCCUUCUUGCUGACCCAGCUGCUGCCUUCCCACCCCUCGGCUCUGUCCCCUUUUGUCUCCUGCUUCUCCUCCCAGACUCAUGGGCUACCUUUGAUUUUAAAAUGCUCAUAUUCCAGUCCCUUCUCUUCUGGUGGAAACUUUAACAAAUGCACCGACAUCUGCUAUAGUUAGUCAUCACACUUAAUGUACGGGAUAUUCCAGCUGGAUUCACUCUCCUUUUAUUAUGUAUUGGAAAGACGUUUCAUCUGCGCUCCUCUGGCUUGGCCAGACACAAGCCCAGACUCACCUCUGCAUGUUGUGGACAUGGCUGGGGUGCCAUGGGGUGCUGUUUGGCCAUGCACCCACAGCACAUCCCAUUCCAGAUCCUCUCUGCACCCAACUGCCCAUACAGCCAAAAUGGGACGUGCCUGGACUGUGGAGGAGACAUGAUGGGCUUUGAAAGCAGACUGAGCAGCUGGUAGGUAGGUAGGUAGGAAAGGGAAGAAGGAAGGAAGGAAGGAAG
rnacentral:lncRNA from 1 species